rnacentral:lncRNA from 10 species
CAGGGCUUGAAGGCUGUGGGUGUGGGGCCCCAUAAUCAUUUGGUCCAGGACAGGCAGUAGGCGUCAGGGGGCGCCCUAAGGCUCCACGGCAUGUGCCUGUAUUGCUGGGACAUCGAGCCUUCCCAAGUCAACCCUGAAGGACCAAGACAACAUCAUCCUUCAGAGGUCACUGAGCGGCAGCUUGCAAAUAAACGUAUUCAGAAUAUGCAACACCUAAAGAAAGAGAAGAGGAGACUGAAUAAAAGGUUUUCAAGGCCUUCUCCUAUUCCAGAACCAGGACUCCUACCACGUGUAUAGUAAGAAGCAGAGAAGAUGGCAAUGGCCAAGGGGUAAGUUCAUCUGCAUAAGAAGAUUAGAGUGAGGUGGCCAGCCUUCCCUGCAUGCUAUGUAAACAUCAUACCUGAGUGAACCAAUCUGUGAGCCCUAUGUAAAUCAGACGCCUCCUCAAGCCUGACUAUAAAAUCUGUCGCCUCCACCACCGGCCCGUCUUUCCUCUCAG